rnacentral:rRNA from 1 species
GACGUACCACCGAACGUUAUUCGGAUUCACUGGGCUUACAGAGUCCGUAGGCGGUCAAGAAAGUUAGGCGUGAAAUCCCUCAGCUCAACUGAGGAAUAGCGCUUAAAACUACUUGGCUAGAGAGAGUCAGAGGUGAGCGGAACUGAUGGUGGAGCGGUGAAAUGCGUUGAUAUCAUCAGGAACACCGGUGGCGAAAGCGGCUCACUGGGGCUUUUCUGACGCUGAGGGACGAAAGCUAGGGGAGCGAACGGG